rnacentral:tRNA from 1 species
CCUGGUGGCUUAGAGGUUAAAGCCUCUGCCUGCAAUGCGGGAGACCUGGGUUCAAUCCCUGGGUCAGGA